UAUGUCAAUUAAGUUAUGCCAAUCCACAUAGUACUUCAUAAUUUGGCUAUUUUUGUCUCUAGAAAUAGGAGUAACUUGGUGUCGCAUUUUAAGGCACGAAAUUUAGUCCCCUCUUUGCCUCUCUCCCAAGUUGAAGAAGCAAUGUCAUUGUUGAGGUCAAGGUACGCUCUCUCUCUUCCUUCUGCCAAUUUGUUUCUUGUUCGAUUCUUCUCUCACAAUCACAAUCUUGUUUCUGUUGACGAUGCUGUUUCCUCAUUCAAUCGCAUCCUCUAUAUGAACCCUAACCCACCCAUCUUUGAAUUCAACAAGAUAUUGGGUUCCCUUGUUAAAAUCAAACAUUACUCAACUGCUAUUUCCCUUUUUCAACAAUUGCAACUUCGACGAAUUCCAACCGACAUUGUUAAUUUGAGCAUCUUGAUUAACUGUUACUGCCACCUUCAUCAACUCAAUUUUGCAUUUUCUGUAUUCGCCAACAUCCUCAAGCUAGGUUAUCACCCUGAUACAAUAACUAUUAAUACACUUAUCAGAGGUCUCUGUAACAGCGGCAAGAUUAAUGAAGCACUUCACUUUCACGACAACAUUAUAGCGAAGGGGUUUCGACUUGAUCAAGUUAGUUACGGGACGUUGAUUAAAGGGUUAUGUCAAAUAGGAGAAACAAAAGCUGCUCUGCAGAUUCUUAAGAAGAUUGAAGGGUCGUCUGUUAAACAUAAUGUGAUAAUGUACAACACAAUCAUUGAUAGUUUCGGAAAGGAUAAACUUGUGAAUGAUGCUUUUGAUUUAUAUUUUGAAAUGAUUGUCAAAGGAAUUUCUCCUAAUGUUAUCACUUAUAAUACUUUAGUGAAUACCCUUUGCAUUGUCGGUCAAUUGAAAGAAGCAGUUGGUUUGUUAAAUGAAAUGUCCUUGAAAAAUAUUAGCCCUAAUGUUUGUACUUUUAAUACACUUAUUGAUGGUUUUUGUAAGGAAGGAGAGGUGGAAAAAAACAGAAGUGUGGUGGCUGUUAUGAUUAAACAAGGCGUAAAACCUAAUGUUAUUACUUAUAAUUCUUUGAUGGAUGGAUAUUUCUUGGUUAAAGAAGUGAACACGGCUAGACACAUAUUCAACUCUUUUGUUCGAAGAGGAGUGGAACCUAAUACUCAAAGUUACACUGUCAUGAUAGAUGGAUUAUGUAAGAGUAGAAUGGUGGAUGAAGCUGUGAAUCUCUUCAAAGAAAUGCAUUUGAAAAACAUGGCUCCGGAUACUAUAACAUACAAUUCCCUUAUUGAUGGACUUUGUAAAUCAGGGAGAAUCUCUGAUGUUUGGGAUCUCAUAGAUGAGAUGCAUGACAGAGGCCAACCUGCUAAUGUGAUCACUUAUAAUUCUUUACUGGAUGCUUUGUGCAAAGACCAUAAGGUUGACGAGGCAAUUGCAUUAUUAAAGAAGAUCAAAGACCAAGGGAUUCUUCCGAGCAUGUAUACAUACACUAUACUUGUUGAUGGACUAUGCAAAAAUGGAAGACUUAAGGAUGCACAGAAGGUUUUUCACGAGCUUCUGAUUAAGGGCUAUCAUUUAGAGGCUAAAAUGUAUACUGUGAUGGUUAAUGGACUAUGUAAAGAGCGCUUGUUUGAUGAAGCAUUUUCCUUAAUGUCGCUAAUGGAAGACAACAAUUGCACACCUGAUGUUGUAACUUACGAAAUUCUCGUUCGUGCUUUGUUUGAAAAUGGAAAGAAUGAUAAGGCGGUGAAACUUCUUCGUGAAAUGAUUGCUAAAGGUCUACUACAACAGUAAAACUAGGGGAGAUGCUUUUGUUAUUUUGAAUUUUAAAACAGCCAUCAAGUUAUCCGGAUCACUGGAACCUCUAAUCAAAGAGUAUCAUCAGCAGAUGCUACAAGAAUAUCCCCGUAGUGGAAAUUAAACAAACUUCUUGUAUACAGAUGGCUGUCGUAAUACUGAGAAUUCUAUUCUAUCUGUUUCUCAAACUCAUCAUUAGUUUUACGAUUUCUGGUAGGUGCUGUUCUACAAUGGUUUUUAAAUAAUUUUCUCCUAAGCAUAAUACUUGGUACAAUUUUUGUUCUUGUUCUAAUUUUGGAACUUCUGUUAUUCUCUUUGAAUCUAGUACUAAUUAAAGUGACUCCUUGAAGCAAAACUGACUGUUAAUUUGUCUGCUCAUGCUUGUCAUAAAAAAACUGUCGCGUGAUGUUAGAUCAGUGAAUUGGUACAAGCAAUAAUUUAGACUUUUUGAGGAGCUUUUAUGACUAAGGUUGUUGCUAGAAUUAAGAAUAUGUAGAUAGUCCUUAAGUGUAACAACUUCCUGGAUUGAUGUAUUAUACAACUUCUUAGAAGAGUGCCUAUUCAAUCUAUCAUUGCAGCACUUAUAAAUACAAGUUGUGUGAUCUAAUUAACCUUUUGAUUUGCCUUUGAAUUUGUUUCUGUUGCAACUACACUCUUAUUUUUUGCAUAUAUGAGCAUCUAAUCUGAAGGAAUAAACAAAUUAUCCCUACACAAACUCUCGUCAAACAAACGCACCGCGAUGGUGAAGUGAUAUUUUCAAAGGUGAAGAAGCUAUUAGCUCAACAUUAAUGAAAAGUAUGCGUAAAAAAAAUUGGACAUAUAAUUUUACAACCAAAAAACACAAUCAUGACCUCAACAAAAUUAACCCUGGUGGUUUUUUAACUCAAAAUCAUAAAUUAAAACAUAAAAGCUCAGGAACAAUUGCAAAUAGAGUUAGAUUCAUGGCUAAUUCUGUCUAUAAUAUUUGCAAUGAAAAAACAAUAACCGAGAGUUACCAGAAAAAAAUUAAAGAGCUAUAAGCGGUUAUUUUUCUAAAUUGGAGAGGUGAAUUUAUAUAAUUUUGGAAAAAGGUUAUGAAGAGGUGCUUUUAUACCAUUUGGGAAGAGGUUGUGAAAACUAAGUAGAUUGAAAAAAUGAGAAUGAUAAUGGAUUAAUUGAAGUUAUGUGGGAUUACUUGAAGUAAUGGGUUUAUAUAAA